AGGACUAACGCUGGCGGCGUGCCUAACACAUGCAAGUCGAACGGGGUAGCAAUACCCAGUGGCAGACGGGUGAGUAACACGUGGUCAACCUACCUCUGUGUGGGGGAUAACUAGCCGAAAGGUUAGCUAAUACCGCAUACGAUCGUUUUGAGGCAUCUCGAGACGAUGAAAGGAGCAAUCCGCACGGAGAGGGGACUGCGUCCCAUUAGUUAGUUGGUGGGGUAACGGCCUACCAAGACUCCGAUGGGUAGCUGGCUUGAGAGAGCGACCAGCCACACUGGAACUGAGAAACGGUCCAGACUCCUACGGGAGGCAGCAGUGAGGAAUUUUCCGCAAUGGGCGAAAGCCUGACGGAGCGACGCCGCGUGUGGGAUGAAGGUCUUCGGGUUGUAAACCUCUUUCGAGCAGGGACGAUUGUGACGGUACCUGCAGAAGAAGCUCCGGCCAACUACGUGCCAGCAGCCGC
rnacentral:rRNA from 1 species